rnacentral:lncRNA from 1 species
UGACAUCAACGUUUCCUUUUGGACCAUGACUCAGCUUUUUGGAUCCCUUAAUUUCCUGCCCCGCAGAUUCCCCGAAUGCCGCGGCGGCCGCAGCUCCCGAGGCUGCGACGGCUUCUCCUCGUUCCACAGGGCCCACUGGGUCCUGGUCCAUCGUCGUCGCCACCACAGGGCUGCUGGCGCCGCAGCGCCGGCCGCCUAGCCAAGUCUCUGGGAAGGGGACUAGCCGGCCUUGAGGGGCGGGGCCGGCCAGAGGGGCGGGGCCAGCCCGCGCCUCGCCUAGCCCGCCUGGCUCAGCACCCCGAGAGCUGGCCGACUGCCCUCCAGGUGAUUUUUAUGCCCACUAAAGUCUGAGCAGCAUUGGCCUAGGACACAGCUGUUUAAAAAAUUCUCCUGCUGAGAUAGACAAGAAAAAUAAAUUUGGAUGAUUUCUGGACUUUAGAUUCCUUAACCUUUAACUCACAUUGGUGCAGUGGCUCAUGCCUGUAAUCCCAGCAUUUGGGAAGGCUGAGGUAGACGGGACCUGAGCCCAGGAGUUGGAGACCAGCCUGGGCAACAUCACGACAUCCCAUCUCUACAAAAGAUUAAAAUUAGCCAGGCGUGGUGGUAUGUGCCUGCAACUCCAGCUACUCAGGAAGCUGAGGUGUUUGGGAGGAUCACUUGAGCCUGGGAAGGCGAGGCUGCAGUGAUCCGCGAUCGCACCACGGGACUCCAACCUGGGUGACACAGCAAGACUGUCUCAGAAAGAAGGAAGGGGUGGAUUUCUAUUCCAAUUUGGAGCUGUUCUAACUUGUAGCAUUUUAUAUAGGAAUGUCUUCAUAUUGUCAUUUAGUCUCAUCACAAACCUCUGAUAGACCAUACGGUUGCAUAUAAUUAAGAUAGGAAAUAAAAUAAUAGGGGGCGAUUUUCAGUCUUGGGGAUAGUCAUGGAAAUAAUUUAAUGAAUGUUCUGUUCUGACCCAUUUUAGAACCUUAGCAUUCAUCUCCUUCCUUAAGGGUAUGACCAUAAUAGCUACAUGCUUAACUGAGUUAAAAACGUAGUAGGUUAAAGGAAUUGAGCCUUAGGCUUAAUGAGUUAAUGGGGUGCGGGGAGAAUGCUGCUUCCUCACUCCUGAAAUUUCCUUCCAUGUAAGGGGCCUCUAUUUGGUGCAAAGCACCAGAACUCUUUCCCCGCUUUACUUGCCCUUUCAAUGAUAAGGAGAGAUCUUGCUGGUGAUUUGGGAGAUGAAUUGGGCAAGUAUAACUCAGUCCGUGUCUCUCUCUAUCUUGAGAGCCAGUGAAGCCAACAGGGAGUGUGAUACUGAUCUCUCUGCUACAAGAGGCCUGCCUCCAUCCAGAAAAUGGUGGGCCAGAGGCAAGAUGACAAUCUCUAGGAUUUCUUCACACUGGCAAGAUUCCAGAGGGAUAAUGUCUUCGUCAGAUGUCUUCAUUUUUGUUAAAACGUGGUCAAAGAAAUUCAAGAUCUUUUCUCUUAUUUCUUCAGGACUGUCCAUAUGCAGAAAUAAAUAAUAGUAACUUAUACAGUAUCACUUUUGAUAUUAAAAUAUCUUUAGGCC